AUCUGCCGCCAUGCCGCCCUGAACAAGCUCGAUCCCGUCUGAUCUGGGAAGCUAAGCAGGGUCAGGCCUGGUUACUACUAGUUAGUACUUGGAUAGGAGACCACCUAGAAAGACCAGGUGCGGUAGGCA
ensembl:rRNA 5S_rRNA 5S ribosomal RNA